AUUUAUGAAAGAUUAACUUCUGCGAAAGCAUCUGCCAAGGAUGUUUUCAUUAAUCAAGAACGAAAGUUAGGGGAUCGAAGACGAUCAGAUACCGUCGUAGUCUUAACCAUAAACGAUGCCGACCAGCGAUUAGGAGACGUUGAAUACAAAACACCACCAUCGGCGCGGUCGUCCUUGGCGUCGGUCCUUCACGGGGCCGGCGCGAGGGCGGCUUAGCCCGGUGGCACCGGUGAAUGACUCCCCUAGCAGCUUGUGAGAAA
rnacentral:rRNA from 1 species